UGAAGUUAGAUGAAGUAAACAUGAAGGACACCGUUACAGAGAGCCCGUAUUGUAUAGAGUUAGAGCCCGUUUCAAGACAUAGAUACAAGGAGUUAAUUGACAAAUAUGUUGGACGUGACCCGUACCUCAUGAAGAUGAGUGAGUUUUCGGUGGAGCUUAAAGAUUUGCCGACAGUGGAGGCCGUUGACAUUACAAACUAUCUGGUCCUUCAGACAUGUAUUACACCAAACAGCAAAUGAAGGCCUAUAAAAGUAUGGAGGCAUAUAACUUUUUUGUCCACAACCUCGGCACCAAACGUCUCCACGACGAUCAUCAUUUAGUCUUCGCCAGGGUAAACCACUCUCAACGAUCAAGCGAAACACCUCUGAAGACUUAUUGCGAAGAAGGAUGGAGAAGUCAUUGCAGCUCAUUGCAAUUGCAUGGCAGGAUUAUCAGAAUCAUGUUCUCAUGUAGGAGCUGUGCUUUUUUCCAUUGAAGCUGGGGUAAAAAUGUGAGAUGCAGCUUCCUGCACAACAGAUCAGUGCAAGUGGCUGAUGCCAUCACAUGUAAAAAAGGUAGGGUGAUAAUUUACCUGUUGGGCAAAGAGGAGCUAAGACAGCAAAGACCCACAUAAACACAGUUUGGCAUCUCAAUCCUGUGAUGAUAGCCCUACCUGUUUUCCUCACAGCCAUCAGA